CUCACCUCCAAGCACAUGCCCAAGGUAAGCUUGGCUACUCCAUAGGCUUUGUGAUGAACGUGUUUUCUUCAGUUUUCAGGAUGGUCAUGUUGACGAUUUCAAGAACUUGAUUGCAAGGUAAAACCAAACUCUGUCCAAUAAAAAAUUGGCAUAGCUUAACAUGCUCAGAAGGGUAAGCUUAUUUCAUUGGAGUUAUCAUGUCCAAUAUUCAGAAGAGGAUAUUCAUGUUGAUGCAUUAUCCAUAAUUAUUCUCGUUGUAAGGACGUGAUUCCAAGGGGGUCAUGGAAAGUUUGGAUUUACUUUUGUAAUGGGAAGCGUGCAUCAGUUGUUGCAGAAAAAAAUGCAUUGCUCAUAAAGAAGUAUUCUGGGCUUUUGAGAUAUAAAUUCUGGUGUUUAGAUAUUCUAUAUUUUAGAACCUAAUGUUGCAUACCGAGCACUAUUUUUGCCAGUUGAAAGCUCCACCGGGUGCCUUCUACAGAGUAGUUAGUUGCCAGACUCCAUUGUUAUUGUAUUUCUUA